rnacentral:rRNA from 1 species
AUUGAACGCUGGCGGAAUGCUUUACACAUGCAAGUCGAACGGCAGCACGGACUUCGGUCUGGUGGCGAGUGGCGAACGGGUGAGUAAUGUAUCGGAACGUGCCCAGUCGUGGGGGAUAACGUAGUGAAAAUUACGCUAAUACCGCAUACGAUCUAUGGAUGAAAGCGGGGGAUCGCAAGACCUCGCGCGAUUGGAGCGGCCGAUAGCAGAUUAGGUAGUUGGUGGGGUAAAGGCCCACCAAGCCAACGAUCUGUAGCUGGUCUGAGAGGACGACCAGCCACACUGGAAAUGAGACACGGUCCAGACUCCUACGGGAGGCAGCAGUGGGGAAGUUUGGACAAUGGGCGAAAGCCUGAUCCAGCCAUUCCGCGUGCAGGAUGAAGGCCCUCGGGUUGUAAACUGCUUUUGUACAGAACGAAAAGGUUUCUACUAAUACUAGGAGCUCAUGACGGUACUGUAAGAAUAAGCACCGGCUAACUACGUGCCAGCCGCCGCAGUAA